CAACAGGGAUUGCCCUAGUAACGGCGAGUGAAGCGGCAACAGCUCAAAUUUGAAAUCUGGCUCUCGGGCCCGAGUUGUAAUUUGUAGAGGAUACUUUUGAUGCGGUGCCUUCCGAGUUCCCUGGAACGGGACGCCAUAGAGGGUGAGAGCCCCGUCUGGUUGGAUGCCAAAUCUCUGUAAAGUUCCUUCGACGAGUCGAGUAGUUUGGGAAUGCUGCUCUAAAUGGGAGGUAUAUGUCUUCUAAAGCUAAAUACCGGCCAGAGACCGAUAGCGCACAAGUAGAGUGAUCGAAAGAUGAAAAGCACUUUGAAAAGAGAGUUAAAAAGUACGUGAAAUUGUUGAAAGGGAAGCGUUUAUGACCAGACUUGGGCUUGGUUAAUCACCUGGGGUUCUCCCCAGUGCACUUUUCCAGUCCAGGCCAGCAUCAGUUUUCGCCGGGGGAUAAAGACUUCGGGAAUGUGGCUCUCUUCGGGGAGUGUUAUAGCCCGUUGUGUAAUACCCUGGCGGGGACUGAGGUUCGCGCAUCUGCAAGGAU
rnacentral:rRNA from 1 species